GGGAAGCUGAACAACAUCCAGGUGCAAAGGCUGAAGGACAAGCUGGGCACGAGGCAGAUGGCAACAGCAGAGCUGUGGCUGCAAGGAGCCAGAGCAGAGCUGGUACAGGUGAGAGGGGCGUUUCUGCUGCUUAUGGAGAUUGUUCACCUGCUGGGCCUGGCUGAAACCAACCUGGCGAGUGAGCAGGAGCAGCUGCUGCUGAGACUGCUCAUCCCAGUGGCCAAACUACACAGGAAAGCAGGUAAUGACCAACCUCUGGUAAGAGGGUGGCAGGACAAGAUCCUAUGUGUCACCAAGUCCCCUGCACAGCACUCUGGUUCCCUGCUAGAGACACACUCAAGGGAGAACACAGCCUUCCCAGGUUCACUCCAGGUGUGGCACCUCUUCCCUCACUCUUCCUGCUGAGCCCAGUCACCCCCAGGAAAGGACAGGAUGUGUUCCUGGUGCCGAGGCUGUUCCCUAGCACAGCAAUGGAGCUGAACUUCACUGCUCCCUUCCUCUUGUGAAACAAGAAUUCUCUGGAGAUAUCCUUGGUAUCCCUUACUUCUGCUCUGUGUCUUUGUUCCCUCACAUUCCCCUGCUUUGCUGCAGUCACUGCAAAGGCUCCCUUAUGCUCUUCCACACAGGUGCUGUCCAUAUGGGAGGGAACAACAAACAACUUGCCCCUGGAUGUGCUGCAAUCCCUUGCCAAGAGCAGGUUAUGGCUGUGUUCCUGUCCACAGUGCAGGUGAGCCCACAGCUGCAGCCCUGCUCAGCCUGAUGCACCCACCUUGGCAGAGCCUUCUUUGGGGUUUGUCCUCCUGGCUGAGGCUGGCAGGGACAGGCCGAAAUGGAAAGCUUUAGUAUUCCAACAAUUGGAAUUGUGUCUUACAAUUCUGCUCCUUAAAUAGCUCUUCCAAAAGCAGGAUGCAGGCAGUGCUAAUCCUGGGAUCUUUGUGUGCUUUCAGCUCAGCAGUGGGGAGCUUGACACUGUCAGAGUUCCUCAACACAGGUACCAAAAUAAGUGUAUUUUUAACGUGACUCACCUUCCUGAAUCCGAAAUAAUUUUGUGGGUUUGUUUCUUAACUGGAAAAUCACCACAGGACUACUGAAUGUUGAACCUCACUAGGGC
rnacentral:lncRNA from 1 species